UUCUAGAGUUUGAUCAUGGCUCAAAUUGAACGCUGGCGGCAGGCCUAACACAUGCAAGUCGAACGGUAGCACAGAGAGCUUGCUCUCGGGUGACGAGUGGCGGACGGGUGAGUAAUGUCUGGGAAACUGCCUGAUGGAGGGGGAUAACUACUGGAAACGGUAGCUAAUACCGCAUAACGUCGCAAGACCAAAGAGGGGGACCUUCGGGCCUCUUGCCAUCAGAUGUGCCCAGAUGGGAUUAGCUAGUAGGGGGGGUAACGGCUCACCUAGGCGACGAGCCCUAGCUGGGCUGAAAGAAACCCCCCCCUGGGGGUAAAAAACCCCCCACCCCCCCCCCGGGGGGGGGGGGAAUUGUAAAAUUUUUGCAGGGGGGGCCCACCCUUGAUCCCCCCAUGCCGCGUGAAUAAAAAAGCCCUUCGGGUUGAAAAUUUUUUCGGGGGGGAGGAGGGGUUGGGGUAAAAACCCGCAGCAAUUGACGUUACCCGCAAAAAAAGCACCGGCUAACUCCGUGCCAGCAGCCGCGGUAAUACGGAGGGUGCAAGCGUUAAUCGGAAUUACUGGGCGUAAAGCGCACGCAGGCGGUCUGUCAAGUCGGAUGUGAAAUCCCCGGGCUCAACCUGGGAACUGCAUUCGAAACUGGCAGGCUGGAGUCUUGUAGAGGGGGGUAAAAUUCCAGGUGUAGCGGUGAAAUGCGUAAAGAUCUGGAGGAAUACCGGUGGCAAAGGCGCCCCCUGGA
rnacentral:rRNA from 1 species